CAAGAACAGCGUUCCAAGGAAGCAAAAAAUGCAGAGGUGAAGCCAUUGAUGAGCCACAUAGCCACCCCAUCGAGUUUUGUUGUGCACCCUUGGGAGCCAUGGUCCGACGAGGACCGGACCCUCGGCCCCAUGGAAUUCCCUCUCGAAUUGAAGUUGCAGAAGGUAGUGGAGGUGGUUGCUGCCAUGAAUUGAAGAUGGAGAUUCAAGUGUGUGUGUUAAUUAGGGUGGUGAGGGAGGAGAAUCCGUGGGAUGGGUAAUUUAUGGUGUUUGAUAGCUUUAAGAAAAGUAGGACUAUUUGUG
rnacentral:lncRNA from 1 species